ACUCCUGUUCGUGAAUUCCUCCAUUUCCCACUUCCAAGGUUUCUGCCAGAAACCUCUGUGCUUGCCUCUGGCGGAUUCUGCCCACCAAGAGGCCCCACUUGCUGCUGUAACCAAUGUUUACACAACACCUUGCCGCCGCCGCCGCCGCGAUAAAUCGUUUGAGCAGCCGGCAUCUGCAAGUAACUUGAAAAAACAAGUUGCUGCAUCACUUGCUCAGCACACAUAGAUCUGUUGAACAAAAUUGCCACGCUAUACAGCCUCUAUCCUCUUCGAAUCACGGUAACUUGGCUGAGACGGCAAGAUGCAAUUGUGAGGUAACACCCACAAGUUCCUUGGACGUCAAAGGUAGGAUCCGAGAAUCAGUUGUUGUAACUUUAAAACAUCCAGAGGGUUACUAAAAGUACUUAACCGUAUCCAGAGCAUCAAAGAACAACAUGCAUCAAAUAUAUCUGUUGUGAAUGACCUGAAAGUGGAACUAGAUCUUUCUCGUGCACAGAUCAAAGAAUUAAAACGAGAGAAGCAAAUGAAUAUUUGGCAAAUAAAGAGCUUAACGAAGCAAACGGCAGAGAGAAGUUUGUCAGGAGGAACAAUGCAAAUGACAGACUUAAAAUCGCAGUUCAAUCAGUCGAGGAAGAGCUAGAAGGUGAGACGAGAUC